ensembl:lncRNA
GGUAACCUGCAGUUUGUCGUCCGCUCCACUAGGGGCGCAAGCGGACUUUGCCUCCGGCGAACUGUGCAUCAUUGCCAGCGUGACACCUGACAGCAGUGUCAACAACUUCAGACCGCUUUAAAACUGUGAAAGUGAAGAUUCUGCACAUGACAGCUCGGUGAGAGACUAUUAAUGUGACUCAACUGCACAUAUUUGAGGCCAACAUUAAACAAAACCAUCAUAUAUUGUGGUAAAGUGCAUGAAAGGAGGAUGUCACGCGACUCACCUAAUAAGGGGUGAGUUUGGACGAUACAGAGUUUUGGGAAACAUCUGCUCAUGGACAGGUAAUUAUAAUGUGUUUAUGUGUGUUGUUGGGUAUUGAAUGUGUAGGUUACCAUCAUUUUCUUUUUGAAGGGUGACGCCUUUAAAAAGCAAAUGAUGGUAACCUAAGUAGGUGGGGAAGGGACGGCGAGUGUGAAAUUUUAUACAGCUUUUUAAAAAAAAAAAAAAAAAAAUUCAGUCUGGCCUAAAGCAUAACCACUGCUGGACAUCAUGCUGGAAGCUCCAGGGGGAGACCGCACUGGUAUCCCCCUCCUUUGGGUGCACCCUUCACUCA